rnacentral:rRNA from 1 species
AUGCACGCUGGCGGCGUGCCUCAUACCUGCAAGUCGAGCGAACAGACGAGGAGCUUGCUCCUCUGACGUUAGCGGCGGACGGGUGAGUAACACGUGGAUAACCUACCUAUAAGACUGGGAUAACUUCGGGAAACCGGAGCUAAUACCGGAUAAUAUAUUGAACCGCAUGGUUCAAUAGUGAAAGACGGUUUUGCUGUCACUUAUAGAUGGAUCCGCGCCGCAUUAGCUAGUUGGUAAGGUAACGGCUUACCAAGGCAACGAUGCGUAGCCGACCUGAGAGGGUGAUCGGCCACACUGGAACUGAGACACGGUCCAGACUCCUACGGGAGGCAGCAGUAGGGAAUCUUCCGCAAUGGGCGAAAGCUUGACGGAGCAACGCCGCGUGAGUGAUGAAGGUCUUCGGAUCGUAAAACUCUGUUAUUAGGGAAGAACAAAUGUGUAAGUAACUAUGCACGUCUUGACGGUACCUAAUCAGAAAGCCACGGCUAACUACGU